CAAACCAAAGCUGGCGACCGGCGCACGGGUGAGUAACACGUAUCCAACCUGCCUCAUACUCGGGGAUAGCCUUUCGAAAGAAAGAUUAAUAUCCGAUAGCAUAUAUUUCCCGCAUGGGUUUUAUAUUAAAGAAAUUCGGUAUGAGAUGGGGAUGCGUUCCAUUAGUUUGUUGGGGGGGUAACGGCCCACCAAGACUACGAUGGAUAGGGGUCCUGAGAGGAAGGUCCCCCACAUUGGUACUGAGACACGGACCAA
rnacentral:rRNA from 1 species